rnacentral:misc_RNA from 3 species
AACGCACAUUGCGCCCGCCAGCAUUCUGGCGGGCAUGCCUGUUCGAGCGUCAUUUCAACCCUCGACGUCCCCUGGGGGAUGUCGGCGUUGGGGACCGGCAGCACACCGCCGCCCCCGAAAUGAAGUGGCGGCCCGUCCGCGGCGACCUCUGCGUAGUACCCCAACUCGCACCGGGAACCCGACGUGGCCACGCCGUAAAACGCCCAACUCUGAACGUUGACCUCGGAUCAGGUAGGAAUACCCGCUGAACUUAA